ACAUGUCUCACGGGGAGCCUAUGCGGGGCUGAGAGGUGGCAGGGCCACCGACCCGUCGAACCUGAUCCGGGUCAUGCCGGCGGAGGGAAUGAGCAUGCGACAUCGC
rnacentral:ncRNA from 2 species